UCUUCACCCGCUCUCGCUCUCUCUCUCUCUCUCUCUCUCUCUCUCACACACACACACACACACACACACACACACACACACCUCACACAGAAGGCGUUGAUUGACGCACAGAUUUGAAGAAGCCCAAGCAUGAAUCACUACCACAUUUACGAAGCCAUCGGCCGCGGCAAAUAUUCGACUGUCUACAAGGGAAGAAAGAAGAAGACUAUUGAGUAUUUCGCCAUUAAGAGCGUCGACAAAUCUCAUCGGAGCAAGGUUCUUCAGGAAGUGAGGAUUCUUCACACUCUAGAUCAUUCUAACGUGCUAAAGUUCUACUCAUGGUACGAAACAUCAGCUCAUUUGUGGUUAGUUCUCGAGUAUUGCGUUGGAGGAGAUCUGAUGACUUUAUUGCAACAGGACGGCAAGCUUCCUGAAGAGUCUAUACAUGACUUGGCUUAUGGCCUUGUAGCAGCUCUGCAGUACUUGCAUUCAAAGGGAAUUAUUUACUGUGACUUAAAACCGUCAAACAUUCUUUUGGAUGAAAACGGACAGACAAAGCUAUGCGACUUUGGAUUAGCAAGAAAACUGAGUGACAUAUCCAUGACCUCCCAGCUACCCCAAGCAAAACGUGGAACACCUUGCUACAUGUCUCCCGAGUUGUUCCAAGAUGGAGGUGUUCAUUCAUACGCUUCUGAUUUCUGGGCUCUUGGUUGUGUGCUAUAUGAGUGUUAUACUGGCAGACCUCCAUUUAUUGACAAGGAAUUCACUCAAUUGGCGAAAUCGAUUCUUUUGGAGGCACAUCCUCCUCUUCCUGGGAAUCCAACCCGUCCAUUUGUAAAUUUGAUAAAUUCUCUCUUGAUCAAAGAUCCAGCUGAAAGAAUACAGUGGCCUGAACUUUGCAAUCAUGCUUUUUGGAGGACAAAAUUUGUUUCAUUGGCAUUACCUCCUCAGCCUGCUUUUGCUAACAUGAUUGAGCUGCCUUCUGAACCACAUCUUACGGAGCGCAAUGGAGAUAGACCUCUCCGAAACAAGACUCCAACAAGAUCUUGUGGAAAAGAUUCAAGAAUGCCUAGUAAGCAAGAUGAGAAUCUUAGUGCUGCUGUGAAAGGAGAAGAGACGCCGACUAAAGGUAUAUAUAGUGGCCGUAAAGCUCAAGGCAAACCUUCUGGCAAAGUACCUGAUGCAAAGAAAAAAGAUGGUUCAAAUAAUAUAGGUGGUGUGAAUCUCCUGCGUCUUUCGAGAAUUGCAAGAUCUAAUCUGCACAGGGAAAACGAGAAAGAGAAUUACCGAAGGCCAUUACCUAAUAGCUCUAAGAAUGAUGCAGAAAUCAAAAUCGAAAACAAUGACAUGGAACUUGAUUUUAAUGAGAGCACAGAAGAUGAUGGGCAUGAUGAAGCUGAUGUAUCUGAAAAUGAAUCAUCCAUUACAGAAGAUAAUUUAUCAACUCCUCGAAAGCAUGAGGGAAAAGUUGAAGAGACGGACAACAUGAUAAUCCAGUCUGAAGGAUCAAAUGUUGUUGACACUCCUUUGACUGAUAACUCAAGAGCAGAAGAGCAGGAAUCAUCUUCAGACAUGGAUGUGAGCCCAGUAGUAUCCACACCAACCAGUGCUAGCCCUCACCUGAAGACUCCAAGAAUCAAAGAUGUUUCUGGGCGUGUCCUUGAUUUUGAUGCAGCCAAAUCAACUUCAGACCUCUCCGAGGUGCUGUGGCAUCCAUCUGAUCUCUCUGUUAGGCCAGUAAUGCCUAGCAGAAAAAUUGAUAAAGGAUCGGAUGUAAUGCCUUCCCUUCCCUUCCACGCUAUUCCCCCAGCUGAUUUUACAAAGAUGCCCAAGGAUAAAUUGGAUGUUAUGUAUAACAGGAUUAUAAGUAUCAUGAAUGGGAAUGUCAAUGGUGAGAAGCAAAAUGUGCUUAGGUACCUCGAGAUGUUGAGCACCAAUGCUGAUACUGCCAAUAUUUUGACCAAUGGGCCAAUAAUGCUAGUUCUUCUCAAAAUGCUAAGGCAGUCUAAGGCUUUGGCCUUGCGGGUGCAGCUGUCUUCACUUAUAGGCUUGCUGAUUCGCCAUUCCACCUUCAUUGGAGAUGAUUUGGCAAAUUCUGGAAUUUUAGGUGCUCUAACAGAUGGUUUGAGAGACAGACAGGAAAAAGUGAGGAGGUUUUCCAUGGCUGCUUUGGGCGAGUUGUUAUUUUACAUAUCUACUCUAAAUGAUCCUACUAAGGACAAUAAUCCUCAGGAAUCUCCAUCGAAAGACAGCAGACCACCUUCUAGCUGGCAGGUUCCCAAUUCAUUAAUCUCUUUGAUAUCAUCUGUCUUACGGAAAGGAGAGGAUGAUCUUACCCAGCUUUAUGCUUUAAGAACAAUAGAGAACAUCUCGAGUCAUGGAGGUUAUUGGGCCACUCGUUUCAACAGCCAAGAUGUAAUUACGAACCUCUGUUAUAUGUAUAAGGCUCCAGGAAAACAAGAAAGUAUGAAACUUACUGCUGCGUCAUGUUUGGUGCGUCUGGCUCGCUUCAACCCACCUAGCAUUCAACAGGUUGUUGAGAAAAUUCCGCUGAAGGAUAUUAGUUCUAGUCUUUUCAAGGGAAACCAACGUGAGCAGCAAAUCUGCUUAAAUCUUCUAAACAUGGCUAUGCUUGGAAGCCAGUUUCUGACAAAUAUAGGGCGUCUCCUUCUUCCCGUAAUGGAAGACAAAAAUAUUGUUUCAAAUCUUUUGUCUCUUAUUGAGCAGGGAAAUGAAGUUCUGAAGGGAAAGGCUCUCCUCUUUGUGGCUCUACUCUGUAAGCAUGGGAAGAGAUGUCUCCCACUCUUUUUCUGCAAUGCAAGAUUGCUAUCAGCUAUGGAUAGACUUGCAAAAGAAAAAGAUAAAUAUGUGCAGCAUUGUCUGGACGCAUUUGUGCAUGCUGUGGUAUCAACUUUACCAGGUUUGCUUGAAACAAUAACAGGGGAUAUUCAACAAAUUAUGGGAGGCAGGCGUCAAGGGCUCAUUCCUGGUCUCAGCAGUCGGAAUACUCCAAAAAACAGUAUUCAUUUCUUUCCUGUGGUUCUCCAUCUUCUAGGGAGCUCUUCAUUCAGGAAUUCAGUAAUUACUCCACAGGUUUUGCUACUGGUUGCGAAUCUGCUUAAAUUGACGGAAUCACCUUUCCAGGGCAGGGAUGACUUCCAAAUAACUCUUCUGCGAGUUUUGGAAUCAAUAUCAGAGGAGCCAACAGCAAUCAAUGAUAACCCUGUCGUCUUCAUCCGCCAGAUCCUUCCUAGCCUGGCUGCCCUGUACAAGGGAAACAAAGAUGGAGAUGCUCGGUUUUUAUGCUUGAAGAUAUUCUUCGAUGUGAUGGUCCUUUUCCUGAGUGAAACGGUGGAGGACGAACAGAGGGCAGAAGAUUUAAAGUCUGUAUCUAAUGUUCACUUCCUCCCACUAUACCCAUCUCUGAUUGAGGACGAAGACCCGAUUCCCAUGUAUGCUCAGAAGCUGCUUGUGAUGCUCAUCGAGUCCAACUACAUAAAAAUCUGUGACAUCCUUCACAUGAAAGCUGUCUCCCAAUGCUUCGAAUCUCUGCUGGGUGAUUUCUCAACUAUAAACGUGAGCAAUGUGAUGCUGUGUCUGGCUCUAGCAUCCGCCCCUGAGCUAGAAACGAAGAUGAUCUCCCAAUUAAAAGUUGUGAGGAAGAUAGGAAAUCUCUUGGAAUUCGUAUUAGCCAAGGAGAUGGAUGAUUUCAUCGAGCCAACACUUGGUCUGUGCAGGGCAUUCCUCUUACGCUCUGUAAACUCCAGGCCAGGGUUCGUCUACUCAAAACAGCCCGCACUCUUAUAUGAUGGCUCAAGUGAGAGCAGUGCUGACUGCAUAAGAGAUAUAACAGACUUUGCCAGCAACGUAGGAGCCCUCCUCGAACUGAGCAAAUCCUCCGAGGCCAACGUUGCAGAUUUAGCCUCCGAGUGUUUGGUUCUGCUGUUCAAGGCAGCUCCAAGAGAAGCAACCAUGAACUUCUUCAUGAAUCUCUCCAAAGCAUCUGCAUCACUCGAGGCCGGGCUCAAUGGCAGCAUCUCCGAGCUGGUGGUGGAGCGAAUUCUGCAUGUUGUUGGUUUCUCUUGUCGACAGUACAUGCUACACUCGAUGAUACUAUCCAUCUGCGCGUCAGAGCUGGCGAAAAUCGAAGCAAUUGUUUCUAAUCUUAAGGGCUCUAGCACAAAAGGUAUUGCCAAUGCCUCUGUUCAAGUAGCACAGGAGUUGCAGAGGAUCCAUCGCUAGCUUCCCAGCUGCUGAGAAAGCAAAGGUGGUUUUUUCUUACAAGCAGGAUCGACGCAACCUUAUAUAGUGAAGGUGCAUCUUGCAGAGAGAUAUGCCAUCACUACAAGCUUCAUUGUCUCAUCCACUUUGGCAUUGUCUCCAUACACACAAUUGCCACCCUACAUUGCUCCUCUCCUCCCUUCCGCCGCCGCCCCUCCCACCGGAGCAACCAUGCCGACGAUCCCCUCCACCCGUAGCCCUCCCAACCCCGAUAUAACGGGCUCGACCGGCCUCGACACCGCCUUCGGGCCGUCGGGCCCAUUGCAAGAUUCAUCCGCAGUGCCUCAAGUUGGACUCAAUUUUUUUAUGGCUUUUGGGUUAGUGCUUGUUUUAAUCAUUAUUAUGUGAGGUAUUUUAAUUCUCUAUAGCAUGCAAACUACCUACAUAUAUGUAAGUAUGUUUAGUCACAUUUCCAAUUUAAGCACAAGCAUAUGAUGGACUUAAUCUGAGUGUGACAUAGAUUCUUCUUGGGUGCAGCAUUUAAUGAGGUUGAAGGUUGAGUUCUUGACUAGUA